rnacentral:rRNA from 1 species
CUUAAGCAUAUCAAUAAGCGGAGGAAAAGAAACCAACAGGGAUUGCCUCAGUAACGGCGAGUGAAGCGGCAACAGCUCAAAUUUGAAAGCUGGCUCCUUCGGGGCCCGCGUUGUAAUUUGCAGAGGAUGCUUCGGGUGCGGUGCCGGUCUAAGUUCUUUGGAACAAGACGUCAUAGAGGGUGAGAAUCCCGUAUGUGACUGGUUGCCUGCGCCCGUGUGAAGCUCCUUCGACGAGUCGAGUUGUUUGGGAAUGCAGCUCUAAAUGGGUGGUGUACUUCAUCUAAAGCUAAAUAUUGGCCAGAGACCGAUAGCGCACAAGUAGAGUGAUCGAAAGAUGAAAAGCACUUUGGAAAGAGAGUUAAACAGUACGUGAAAUUGUUGAAAGGGAAGCGCUUGCAAUCAGACUUGCGCGGCGCCGAUCAGCCUGGGUUCUCCCUGGUGCACUCGGUGCCGCUCAGGCCAGCAUCAGUUUCGGCGGUUGGAUAAAGGCCUAGGGAACGUGGGUCGCCUCGGCGAUCGUUAUAGCCCUAGGUGCAAUGCAGCCUGCUGGGACUGAGGACCGCGCUUCGGCUAGGAUGCUGGCGUAAUGGUUGUAAGCGACCCGUCUUGAAACACGGACCAAGGAGUCUAACAUCUAUGCGAGUAUUUGGGUAUCAAACCCAUAUGCGUAAUGAAAGUGAACGGAGGUGAGAACCCUUAAGGGUGCAUCAUCGACCGAUCCUGAUGUCUUCGGAUGGAUUUGAGUAAGAGCAUAGCUGUUGGGACCCGAAAGAUGGUGAACUAUGCCUGAAUAGGGUGAAGCCAGAGGAAACUCUGGUGGAGGCUCGCAGCGGUUCUGACGUGCAAAUCGAUCGUCAAAUUUGGGUAUAGGGGCGAAAGACUAAUCGAACCAU